CUGUCUUUUCUUUCCGGAGCGGCUUGCACAUCCACACCUCGACAGAACGUAAAAAUCUACUGCUGAACAAAAAAAAAAAACUUCUUCUUGGGCAAAUUGGUGCUUAGAUUUCCUAGGUAGACUGUGGCACGAAAUACACUUCUCGAAUUUCU
rnacentral:lncRNA from 1 species